GUGCUCACUUCAGCAGCACAGAUACUAAAAUUGGAAUGAUACAGAGAUUGGCAUGGCCCCUGAACAGGAAUGACAUGCAAAUUCAUGAAAUGUUGUGUAUUUUG
ensembl:snRNA U6 U6 spliceosomal RNA